rnacentral:rRNA from 1 species
CCUACGGGAGGCAGCAGUGAGGAAUAUUGGUCAAUGGGCGAGAGCCUGAACCAGCCAAGUAGCGUGAGGGAGUACUGCCCUAUGGGUUGUAAACCUCUUUUGUCGGGGAGCAAAAGCCGGACGUGUCCGGCUGUGAGAGUACCCGAAGAAAAAGCAUCGGGCAACUUCGGGCCAGCAGCCGCGGAAAUACGGGGGAUGCGAGCGUUACCCGGAUUUUUUGGGUUUUAAGGGUGCGGAGGCGGAUUUGUAAGUCAGCGGUAAAAUCGGGGGGCUCAACCCCAUCCAGCCGUUGAAACUGGGGAUCUAGAGUGUGCGAGAGGUAUGCGGAAUGCGUGGUGUAGCGGUGAAAUGCAUAGAUAUCACGCAGAACCCCGAUUGCGAAGGCAGCAUACCGGUGCACAACUGACGCUCAGGCACGAAAGCGUGGGUAUCGAACAGGAUUAGAUACCCCAGUAGUC